rnacentral:rRNA from 1 species
UACAGAGGUCUCGAGCGUUAGGCGGAAUCACUGGGCUUAAAGCGUGUGUAGGUGGAUGCCUAAGUACCUUGUGAAAUCCCACGGCUCAACCGUGGAACUGCUGGGUAUACUGCCUGUCUUGAGUCAUCUAGGGGCGAGCGGAACAAAUGGUGGAGCGGUGAAAUGCGUAGAUAUCAUUUGGAACGCCAAUGGUGAAAACAGCUCGCUGGGGAUGUACUGACGCUGAGACACGAAAGCCAGGGGAGCAAACGGG